rnacentral:snoRNA from 1 species
UGGCCUGUGACGAAAGCAUUAUGAGAAAACACACCAUCUUUCGGGACUGAAUGGCUGUCUUACAGCCUUGCUGAUAUUCUGCAAUUCUGAGGCCU